AGCGAACGCUGGCGGCAGGCUUAACACAUGCAAGUCGAGCGGGCAUAGCAAUAUGUCAGCGGCAGACGGGUGAGUAACGCGUGGGAACGCACCUUUUGGUUCGGAACAACUGAGGGAAACUUCAGCUAAUACCGGAUAAGCCCUUACGGGGAAAGAUUUAUCGCCGAAAGAUCGGCCCGCGUCUGAUUAGCUAGUUGGUGAGGUAAUGGCUCACCAAGGCGACGAUCAGUAGCUGGUCUGAGAGGAUGAUCAGCCACAUUGGGACUGAGACACGGCCCAAACUCCUACGGGAGGCAGCAGUGGGGAAUAUUGGACAAUGGGCGCAAGCCUGAUCCAGCCAUGCCGCGUGAGUGAUGAAGGCCCUAGGGUUGUAAAGCUCUUUUGUGCGGGAAGAUAAUGACGGUACCGCAAGAAUAAGCCCCGGCUAACUUCGUG
rnacentral:rRNA from 1 species